rnacentral:rRNA from 1 species
CUCAAAGGAAUUGACGGGGGCCCGCACAAGCAGUGGAGUAUGUGGUUUAAUUCGAAGCAACGCGAAGAACCUUACCAGGGCUUGACGUAUAGAGGAAUAUUUAAGAGAUUAAAUAGUUCUUCGGAACCUCUAUACAGGUGGUGCAUGGUUGUCGUCAGCUCGUGUCGUGAGAUGUUGGGUUAAGUCCCGCAACGAGCGCAACCCCUGUUGUUAGUUGCCAGCAUGUAAAGAUGGGAACUCUAAGAAGACUGCCGGUGAUAAAUCGGAGGAAGGUGGGGACGACGUCAAAUCAUCAUGCCCUAUAUGUCCUGGGCUACACACGUACUACAAUGGCUGUAACAGAGGGAGGCAACACAGUGAUGUGAAGCGAAACCCAGAAAGCAGUCUCAGUUCGGAUUGAAGGCUGAAAUUCGCCUUCAUGAAGCCGGAAUUGCUAGUAAUGGCAGGUCAGCAUACUGCCGUGAAUACGUUCCCGGGCCUUGUACACACCGCCCGUCACACCAUGAGAGUUGGGGAUACCCGAAGCCUGUGAGCUAACGAAAGGAGCAGCAGUCGAAGGUAGAAUCAAUGAUUGGG